rnacentral:rRNA from 1 species
AUACGUAGGGUGCGAGCGUUGUCCGGAAUUACUGGGCGUAAAGAGCUCGUAGGUGGUUUGUCGCGUCGUCUGUGAAAUUCCGGGGCUUAACUCCGGGCGUGCAGGCGAUACGGGCAUAACUUGAGUACUGUAGGGGAGACUGGAAUUCCUGGUGUAGCGGGGAAAUGCGCAGAUAUCAGGAGGAACACCGGUGGCGAAGGCGGGUCUCUGGGCAGUAACUGACGCUGAGGAGCGACAGCAUGGGUAGCGAACAGGAUUAGAUACCCUGGUAGUCCAUGCCGUAAACGGUGGGCGCUAGGUGUAGGGGUCUUCCACGACUUCUGUGCCGUAGCUAACGCAUUAAGCGCCCCGCCUGGGGAGUACGGCCGCAAGGCUAAAACUCAAAUGAAUUGGCGGGG